UACGAAGGGGAGCUAGCGUUGUUCGGAUUUACUGGGCGUAAAGCGCACGUAGGCGGAUCGUUAAGUCGGGGGUGAAAUCCUGGAAGCUCAACUCCAGAACUGCCUUCGAUACUGGCGAUCUUGAGUCCGGAAGAGGUGAGUGGGAACUCCUAGUGUAGAGGUGGAAUUCGUAGAUAUUCGCAAGAACACCAGUGGCGAAGGCGGCUCACUGGCCCGAUACUGACGCUGAGGCACGAAAGCGUGGGGAGCAA
rnacentral:rRNA from 1 species